UUGUCUGUGUGUAUGUAAAGUUAUUGUGCAUGCAUCAAGGAAUGGGUUUGUCACAUUUUUGUUUCUAUAUUCAUGUUAUUCUUCGCAGAGAUAGAAAUGAUUCUAAUUUGUUCAUCUCUUUAUGUGAACUUGUUAAAUAUAAUGACAUAGUAAAAACCGACUGGAAAACUGUCUGGGAAUUUCUGACUGAGUACUAAAUUGGUUUGAGUUUGGGACUUCUUUGUGUCCUUAGACAACUUUAAAGCUGAGCACACAAAAAUUGGUGAAUGUGUUCACCAAGGUUCCAUCCUGGGGCCUCUUCUGUUUAUCAUCUACAUGCUCCCACUAGUUCUGAUCAUUGAAAAAAACAAAAUAAGUUCUCAUAACUAUGCGGAUUACACACAUCUAUAUUACAGUGGUGCCAGGCGAUUUGCAUAGAACAAAUCAAUGAGUGAAUGUGCCAACAUUUUCUUCAGUUAAACAAAGAUAAAAAACAGAGGUUGUUUUUGGAGCAAAGUAGGAGUGAUUAAGAGUCAGAACUUGGCGUCAGUAAGUGACAUUGAAAACUACAGACUAUAGGCAACAAAUCUGGGUGUAGUGAUGAAUAUAUCAAGAAUUAGUUGACUAAUGUCCCAACAGGACCUGGAAAAAAAAAAGUGUCAAUGCUAUUAUAUGCAGUCGACUUGGUUACUGUAACAGUGUCUUAACCGUUUGUCCUAAAACAUCAGUCAAACAACUGUUAAUAUUUAAUAUUUAACUUUAUGAUUGAAUUAUUUUUAAAUGUCCUCUUUUAAUGUGUUUUUCUGCCCUUUGUCAUCAUGAAGAUUUUGAUGUAUUGUGUAAAGCAAGCCUUGUUGCUGAAAUGCGCUUUAUAAAUAAACUUGCCUUGCCUUAGUGGUUCAUAAGCAACAACAAGACUUCUUAUACGACUGACCGCCACCAUUCAAAGCCCAAAUCCAAACAAUAAUGCUUUGCAAUGCUAACAUUUUUGCAGUUUUUUAGGCAAAGUCUGUCAUUUGCAAACAUGUUUUAUACAGAUAUGACUUUGAUACAAAUCAGUAAAAACAUAAUAAGAAGCUCCCUAUGUUACUUGAGAGAGUGAAAAGGACAUUCUGCAAGUUUAAAGAAGAGUAAAAGGAGUUACAUUCAUGCAUGUCUCUCUGUAGUGUAUUUUCAGAGGUAUAUGUCUUUCAUGCAGGUGUCUUUCAGUCUUUGAUAUGUUUGUGUUUGUGUGUGUGUCUCUUUACCUCUUUUGUGUGUCUUUGCAUGGAUGUGGAUACUCUCUUGUGUGUGGCCUCUGUGCAUGUUCACUUGGGCAUGGCACAAGCGCUCGUAUGCCUUCUAUACAGCUCUGAAGGGAGGUUUGGUGGAUUAAGCAUUUUCCAUGUUCUGCUCGCAUGCCUCCUAUACUUUGCUCAAAAGGGGAAAAGGGAAAAAACAAAACACAAUGCUUUCCUCUUUCACCUUAUCGAUAUGAAGCUUUUUUUUUUAUUGAUUUAUUUCUCUCUCGCUGGGUCUCUCUUUGUCCUCCUGUGAGGCUUUCCUACUCCUCAGUCUUAUUUUUAGAGUCAAAGGAUUGCUUUGUGCUUUGCUGCUUGAUCUGCGAUUCUGGAAAAAAAAAAGUGCACUGGAGAGAUGGAAUGUGAGGUGAGGAGAGGAAGGGAGAGAAAAAGAGAGAGAUGAAGGGAGAGAAAAAGAGAGACACAGAGAGGGAGAGAGGGAAAGAUUGAGGGGGGGGAAGGGCGGAGAGGCCUGCACUAAAGCGUCAUACCAGAGCUGCAAGGCACCAAUCACGGUUCUCUGUUGGACGAGCCCCUAGCCUUCUCAACCAAUCAAUCUUUUCUUAACCCUCCACAGGAAACUCCCCAGCUCGCAAGCAGCGUGCACACACUCAACCCACCCACCCACACACACACACACACACCCACCCACACACACACACACACACACACACACACGCAUCGCUCACACUUAAAAAGAACUCAGACAUUUCCAGCCCCUUAACUGCAACACGAAGACUUUUCUCUGCAAAAAAAGAGUAAUUACAGUUUCACCAAACUAUUUAUGUGUGUGCGUGUUUGUGUGUGUCAUUUGACCAAACAUGACUUUGUGAGUUAAUCUGAAAGAGAGAAUUAGUGCCAAACCCUGGCUGCUAUCAUUUCACAUGUGUGGGUAACUGUCCAUGUCGAUUUGGAACAUCCUGUCACUAUCAAUUUCUAAUCGGCCUCACUCUGAGAUUGUAUGGCUUCAACUUCUGGAGGAUCACAUUGCACACACACACACACACACACACAAAACACACAAAACACACACACAGACAAUGUAUAGGUGAUGCACAGAGCAGGUUAGGCUCUGUGUGAGCCCUUAAUGUGUGGUUGUGUGUUUGUCUGUGGCUUGUACCUUACUUACGGCCAUGCCACUCAGCAAUCAGCCUAAACACAUGACAUCAUCUUCCUGCAUGCCCUCCACCAGCUCUUCCUCUCCCGCCUCCUCCCCCCUCUUUAUCUCAUGCCACUUCUCCCCACCUUCACCUCCCCUGCUGCCUCACAGUAGUUCUUCUUUCCACAGCCCCUCCUCAUUUAACCUCUCAAUCCUUCGGUUGUCAUUUGAUAACAGGGGAUUUUUUUCCCUGAAUACAUUGAACAUGAUAUGCCUAUUUUGAAAAUUUUGCCAGCAGCACCUUACAAAAA